AGAGUUUGAUCAUGGCUCAGAUUGAACGCUGGCGGCAGGCCUAACACAUGCAAGUCGAGCGGUAGAGAGAAGCUUGCUUCUCUUGAGAGCGGCGGACGGGUGAGUAAUGCCUAGGAAUCUGCCUGGUAGUGGGGGAUAACGUUCGGAAACGGACGCUAAUACCGCAUACGUCCUACGGGAGAAAGCAGGGGACCUUCGGGCCUUGCGCUAUCAGAUGAGCCUAGGUCGGAUUAGCUAGUUGGUGAGGUAAUGGCUCACCAAGGCGACGAUCCGUAACUGGUCUGAGAGGAUGAUCAGUCACACUGGAACUGAGACACGGUCCAGACUCCUACGGGAGGCAGCAGUGGGGAAUAUUGGACAAUGGGCGAAAGCCUGAUCCAGCCAUGCCGCGUGUGUGAAGAAGGUCUUCGGAUUGUAAAGCACUUUAAGUUGGGAGGAAGGGUUGUAGAUUAAUACUCUGCAAUUUUGACGUUACCGACAGAAUAAGCACCGGCUAACUCUGUGCCAGCAGCCGCGGUAAUACAGAGGGUGCAAGCGUUAAUCGGAAUUACUGGGCGUAAAGCGCGCGUAGGUGGUUUGUUAAGUUGGAUGUGAAAUCCCCGGGCUCAACCUGGGAACUGCAUUCAAAACUGACUGACUAGAGUAUGGUAGAGGGUGGUGGAAUUUCCUGUGUAGCGGUGAAAUGCGUAGAUAUAGGAAGGAACACCAGUGGCGAAGGCGACCACCUGGACUAAUACUGACACUGAGGUGCGAAAGCAUGGGGAGCAAACAGGAUUAGAUACCCUGGUAGUCC
rnacentral:rRNA from 1 species